GCCGGGGUGGCGGAAUUGGCAGACGCACGGGACUUAAAAUCCUGGGGGCGAAUCGCCCGUGAGGGUUCGAGUCCCUCCCCCGGCA
rnacentral:tRNA from 1 species